rnacentral:misc_RNA from 1 species
GUGAAUUAUCGAAUCUUUGAACGCAAAUUGCACUCCCUGGUAUUCCGGGGAGUAUGCCUGUUUGAGGGUCGUUAGAACAAAAAUCGAAUCGUCUCUCGUUUUUUUAAGGUUGAUCGCGUCGUCAUUGAGCCGUCUUUCAGAUGUUAAUUCAUGUCAAAGUGGCUUAAAAUUCAUCCAGCCGAUACGAUUAAAUCGUAUUUAAGAUCAAUAUGGAUGAAGAACGCGCGAUGAACGUACCAUCUCAUGUAGUACGUUUGACUUGACGUCGUCAGGAUCAUUCGUAU